GGGCGUAAGCGCACGCAGGCGUGUCUGUCAAGUCGGAUGUGAAAUACCCCGGGCUCACCUGGGAACUGCAUUCGAAACUGGCAGGCUAGAGUCUUGUAGAGGGGGGUAGAAUUCCAGGUGUAGCGGUGAAAUGCGUAGAGAUCUGGAGGAAUACCGGUGGCGAAGGCGGCCCCCUGGACAAAGACUGACGCUCAGGUGCGAAAGCGUGGGGAGCAAACAGGAUUAGAUACCCUGGUAGUCCACGCUGUAAACGAUGUCGAUUUGGAGGUUGUGCCCUUGAGGCGUGGCUUCCGGAGCUAACGCGUUAAAUCGACCGCCUGGGGAGUACGGCCGCAAGGUUAAAACUCAAAUGAAUUGACGGGGGCCCGCACAAGCGGUGGAGCAUGUGGUUUAAUUCGAUGCAACGCGAAGAACCUUACCUGGUCUUGACAUCCACAGAACUUUCCAGAGAUGGAUUGGUGCCUUCGGGAACUGUGAGACAGGUGCUGCAUGGCUGUCGUCAGCUCGUGUUGUGAAAUGUUGGGUUAAGUCCCGCAACGAGCGCAACCCUUAUCCUUUGUUGCCAGCGGUUAGGCCGGGAACUCAAAGGAGACUGCCAGUGAUAAACUGGAGGAAGGUGGGGAUGACGUCAAGUCAUCAUGGCCCUUACGACCAGGGCUACACACGUGCUACAAUGGCAUAUACAAAGAGAAGCGACCUCGCGAGAGCAAGCGGACCUCAUAAAGUAUGUCGUAGUCCGGAUUGGAGUCUGCAACUCGACUCCAUGAAGUCGGAAUCGCUAGUAAUCGUAGAUCAGAAUGCUACGGUGAAUACGUUCCCGGGCCUUGUACACACCGCCCGUCACACCAUGGGGAGUGGGUUGCAAAAGAAGUAGGUAGCUUAACCUUCGGGAGGGCGCUUACCACUUUGUGAUUCAUGACUGGGGGUGAAGUCGUAACAGGGGGUACCCGUAAAAG
rnacentral:rRNA from 1 species